rnacentral:rRNA from 1 species
AUUGAACGCUGGCGGCAGGCCUAACACAUGCAAGUCGAACGAGUGGCGGACGGGUGAGUAAUGUCUGGGAAACUGCCUGAUGGAGGGGGAUAACAACGGAAACGGUAGCUAACACCGCCUACCAUCAGAUGUGCCCAGAUGGGAUUUGCUGGUUGGUGGGGUAAAGGCUCACCAAGGCGACGAACCCUAGCUGGGCUGAGAGGAUGGCCAGCCACACUGGAACUGAGACACGGUCCAGACUCCUACGGGAGGCAGCAGUGGGGAAUAUUGCACAAUGGGCGCAAGCCUGAUGCAGCCAUGCCGCGUGUAUGAAGAAGGCCUUCGGGUUGUAAAGUACUUUCAGCGGGGAGGCGUUACCCGCAGAAGAAGCACCGGCUAACUCCGUGCCAGCAGCCGCGGUAAUUC